rnacentral:tRNA from 2 species
CGGGGUGUAGCGCAGUCCGGAAGCGCACCUGCUUUGGGAGCAGGGGGUCGGAGGUUCAAAUCCUCUCACCCCGA